AGUGAACGCUGGCGGUAGGCCUAACACAUGCAAGUCGAACGGCAGCACAGUAAGAGCUUGCUCUUACGGGUGGCGAGUGGCGGACGGGUGAGGAAUACAUCGGAAUCUACUUUUUCGUGGGGGAUAACGUAGGGAGACUUACGCUAAUACCGCAUACGACCUACGGGUGAAAGCAGGGGAUCUUCGGACCUUGCGCGAUUGAAUGAGCCGAUGUCGGAUUAGCUAGUUGGCGGGGUAAAGGCCCACCAAGGCGACGAUCCGUAGCUGGUCUGAGAGGAUGAUCAGCCACACUGGAACUGAGACACGGUCCAGACUCCUACGGGAGGCAGCAGUGGGGAAUAUUGGACAAUGGGCGCAAGCCUGAUCCAGCCAUACCGCGUGGGUGAAGAAGGCCUCCGGGUUGUAAAGCCCUUUUGUUGGGAAAGAAAAGCAGCAGGUUAAUACCCCGCUGUUCUGACGGUACCCAAAGAAUAAGCACCGGCUAACUUCGUG
rnacentral:rRNA from 1 species